rnacentral:lncRNA from 1 species
UUUGCAUGUGAGGAUCCCUUUAGUUUGGGUUUUGUUAGAAUUUGGUUAGAUUUGUAGUUAAAUACUAUUUGAAUAAGAAUUAAUAUUUAAAUCUGUUUGAGAUAAAUUAAGAUUUAAAUAUUAAUUAGAACAUAAACCUAACUAGAUUAGGAUUAAUAUUUAAAUCUAUUAGAGAUUGAUUAAGAUAGAUUUAGAUAUUAAUUAAAGUAUGAAUCCUAAAUAUAUUAGGAUUGGGGUACGUUUUAAGUUGAGUAUUAUAAAUAGGCAUUGUGGCUCUCUUAAAAAUCCGAUUUGACGUUUUCGUUGCGGAAUCCCAACAAUCGAUACCGGAUCCACAGCAGUCGGUAUCGGAGCAGGUUGCGGAUUCACGAGAUCCGGUACCGGGGCGAGUACCGGAUUCCCAACAAGUGGUAUCAGAGCCGAAGGUUACCGAUCUGCGGGAGAGAUCGACGGAGAUGGCCACGAAAUUCGAAAUCGAGAAGUUCGACGGCAAGAACAAUUUCGGAUUAUGGCAAAUUAAAGCACGAGCAAUCCUCGUACAGCAAAAGUUAGACGAGACGUUGAACGGGAAGGAGGCAAAGCUAGCGGACGUCACGGAUGCUGCAUGGACUAAGAUGGAGCGGAAGGUGCUGAGUACGCUUCAUCUAUCAUUAGCAGAUGAUGUUCUUUACAAUGUAGCCGGCGAGACGACACCGGCGAAAUUGUGGAAGAAAUUGGAAGAUCUGUACAUGACCAAAUCCCUGACGAACAGAUUGUAUCUGAAGCAGCGACUGUUUAUGUUGCGGAUGCAAGAAGCGGCGAGCCUACAUGAUCAUCUAAAUGAGUUCAACAAGAUGGUGGUCCAGUUGACCAGUAUCGGAGUCAAUCUGGAUGACGAGGACAAGGCGCUGAUUUUACUAUCUUCGCUAUCGACGACAUAUGAGCAUCUGGUGACUACGUUGCUUUAUGGCAAGGAGACCAUAAGCGUGGAGGUGGUCACGGCGGCGCUUCUCUCGAACGAGAUGCGGAAGAUGACUCAGGAGUCUAGCACGUAGAGCCGGGAUACUACUUUGGUGGUGAGAGCGAAGAAGGAGGUGAAAAUAUCGGCGACCGGAGAUAGACAGAAGAAGACGUUAUCUGAGGUAGAAUGCUUUUACAGUCACAGGAAGGGGCAUAUCAAGCGCAAUUGUCGAAAAUUUCAGGAUGAUCUGAAGGAGUUAAAGCGACAGAAGGAGCAAACUGUCGUGAACCAGGACGAGACGGUAUCAGCGACGGCGCAGACAGCAGAGUCGGAGAUGAUCGAUUCUGAUGUGCUGUAUGCGGCGACCGGAGGUGCGAAAAUUUCGGACGAUACGUGGGUGCUCAAUUCGGCGUGUUCUUUUCACGUAUGCCCGGAGAAGGAGUCUUUUGCCACCUAUAAGGUGAUCAAAGGUGGAAAUGCGCUGAUAGGGAACGGGACAGCGUGCAAAGUAUUGGGAGUCGGCAUGGUGAAAAUCCGAAUGCACGAUGGGGUCGUGAGGACGCUGACAGGUGUGUGGCACGUUCCUGGAUUGAAGCGGAAUUUGAUCUCAUUAGACGCAUUGGACUCGAAGGGUUGCGAUUUUUCAGCUUCAGGUGGAGCUAUGAGCGUCCGAAAACGAGAUCGAGUCGUAUGCGAGGCGAACAAGCGUGGGAACUUAUACGUUCUGAACUGGAGCACAGCCAGAACGGGAGCAAAGACGGUUUGGGUUCCAAAAGUUCGCGGAUGUGCAGUUGCUCGAGACGGAGCGACGGAUGCGGCGACAUCGAGCGGAGGAGACAAGCUCAAGGUGGAGCUUACAUGGUGAGCUCAACGUAGCGGUUGAAAAUUACAAAUCAAACCAAGGUGGAGAAUGUUAGGAUUUGGUUAGAUUUGUAGUUAAAUCCUAUUUGGAUAAUAAUUAAUAUUUAAAUCUGUUUGAGAUAAAUUAAGAUUUAAAUAUUAAUUAGAGGAUAAACCUAACUAGAUUAGAAUUAAUAUUUAAAUCUAUUACAGAUUGAUUAAGAUAGAUUUAGAUACUAAUUAAAGUAUGAAUCCUAAAUACAUUAGGAUUGGGGUACGUUUUAAUUUGAGCAUUAUAAAUAGGCAUUAUGGCUCUCUUUUUUGGGUGUAGUACGGUUGGAACCAUUGGGGUGUCGUACCAGAGAGAGAAAAAGAGAGAGAGAGAGUUAUUUUAGUGCACCUUGUGCACGGGUGCACGCGGAGAAGUCUUCUUUGUGGGUUUAUAGAAGACGAGAGAAGGGUAAAAGAGAUUCAAGAAGGAGGGCUCGGGUUGUAACUACUCUGUGCAGAAGAGGAGUCAGGUGUAAUCUUCUCUUAUUUAAUGAAUCUUAUUUUACCUGUAUAUUUUUCUCUUUUAUGAUUGUAUCAGCUUUUCCCGAGGAGACGGGUUUAUGGUAAAAAUCCGAUUCGACGUUUCCGUUGUGGAAUCCCAACAAUCGAUACCGGAUCCACAGCAGUCGGUAUCGGAGCAGAUUGCGGAUUCACGAGAUUCUGUACCGGGGCGAGUAUGGGAUU